UACGGAGGGUGCAAGCGUUGCUCGGAAUUAUUGGGCGUAAAGGGCAAGUAGGUGGUCUCAUUUGUCUGGGGUGAAAGCCUUGAGCUUAACUCAAGAAGUGCCCCAGAAACGGUGAGACUAGAGUCCUGGAGAGGGUCGUGGAAUUCCCGGUGUAGCGGUGAAAUGCGUAGAGAUCGGGAGGAACACCAGAGGCGAAGGCGGCGACCUGGACAGGAACUGACACUCAACUGCGAAAGCGUGGGGAGCAUACAGG
rnacentral:rRNA from 1 species